AAGUAGUGUGACAUGCCCGUUUGAGAUAUACUCUGAAGUAUGUUUAUUAUUUAUUUAAUUGCUUUGGGAUAACGGGAUGUUACAUAAAU
rnacentral:pre_miRNA from 1 species